GUACUUUCUUUGGUAGCACAUGUACUAAAAUUAGAAUAAUAUAGAGAAGAUUAGCAUGUCCAUAGUGCAAAGACAACAUGCAAAUUUGUAAAACAUGCCAAUGUUUG
rfam:Erinaceus europaeus unplaced genomic scaffold scaffold00537, whole genome shotgun sequence